CUGGGAGAGGGUUGUUUACUCCU
rnacentral:ncRNA from 2 species